AAGUCGAGCGAACUGAUUAAGAGCUUGCUCUUAUGAAGUUAGCGGCGGACGGGUGAGUAACACGUGGGUAACCUGCCCAUAAGACUGGGAUAACUCCGGGAAACCGGGGCUAAUACCGGAUAACAUUUUGCGCUGCAUGGUGCGAAAUUGAAAGGCGGCUUCGGCUGUCACUUAUGGAUGGACCCGCGUCGCAUUAGCUAGUUGGUGAGGUAACGGCUCACCAAGGCAACGAUGCGUAGCCGACCUGAGAGGGUGAUCGGCCACACUGGGACUGAGACACGGCCCAGACUCCUACGGGAGGCAGCAGUAGGGAAUCUUCCGCAAUGGACGAAAGUCUGACGGAGCAACGCCGCGUGAGUGAUGAAGGCUUUCGGGUCGUAAAACUCUGUUGUUAGGGAAGAACAAGUGCUAGUUGAAUAAG
rnacentral:rRNA from 1 species